AGUUGAGAUCGCACCACUGCACUCCGGCCCGGGUGACAGAGCAAGACUCUGUCUCAAAAAGAAAAACAAACAAACAAACAAACCAAAAACUGGAAAAGGCAAGAAAAAGGAUUUUCCAGCUGGGCGUGGUGGCUCACCCCUGUAAUCCCAUCCCUGUGGGAGGCCAAGGUGGGAGGAUUACUUGAGCCCAAGAUGUCGAGGCUGCAGUGAGCUUUGGUUGCACUACUGCACGCCAACCUGGGCGACAGAGCUAGACCCAGUCUUAAAAAAAAAAAAGGAUUAUCUUCCAGAGCCUCCAGAAAGGAAAUACAGCCUUUCUACCCUGAUUUCAGCCCAGUGAGACCCGUUUUGAACUUCUGACCUCCCGAACGUCCCUAGCAAUGGGCCCCUGGGAACUACAUCUCUGGUG
rnacentral:lncRNA from 10 species